GAUGAACGCUGGCGGCGUGCCUAAUACAUGCAAGUCGAGCGAACGGACGAGAAGCUUGCUUCUCUGAUGUUAGCGGCGGACGGGUGAGUAACACGUGGAUAACCUACCUAUAAGACUGGGAUAACUUCGGGAAACCGGAGCUAAUACCGGAUAAUAUUUUGAACCGCAUGGUUCAAAAGUGAAAGACGGUCUUGCUGUCACUUAUAGAUGGAUCCGCGCUGCAUUAGCUAGUUGGUAAGGUAACGGCUUACCAAGGCAACGAUGCAUAGCCGACCUGAGAGGGUGAUCGGCCACACUGGAACUGAGACACGGUCCAGACUCCUACGGGAGGCAGCAGUAGGGAAUCUUCCGCAAUGGGCGAAAGCCUGACGGAGCAACGCCGCGUGAGUGAUGAAGGUCUUCGGAUCGUAAAACUCUGUUAUUAGGGAAGAACAUAUGUGUAAGUAACUGUGCACAUCUUGACGGUACCUAAUCAGAAAGCCACGGCUAACUACGUGCCAGCAGCCGCGGUAAUACGUAGGUGGCAAGCGUUAUCCGGAAUUAUUGGGCGUAAAGCGCGCGUAGGCGGUUUUUUAAGUCUGAUGUGAAAGCCCACGGCUCAACCGUGGAGGGUCAUUGGAAACUGGAAAACUUGAGUGCAGAAGAGGAAAGUGGAAUUCCAUGUGUAGCGGUGAAAUGCGCAGAGAUAUGGAGGAACACCAGUGGCGAAGGCGACUUUCUGGUCUGUAACUGACGCUGAUGUGCGAAAGCGUGGGGAUCAAACAGGAUUAGAUACCCUGGUAGUCCACGCCGUAAACGAUGAGUGCUAAGUGUUAGGGGGUUUCCGCCCCUUAGUGCUGCAGCUAACGCAUUAAGCACUCCGCCUGGGGAGUACGACCGCAAGGUUGAAACUCAAAGGAAUUGACGGGGACCCGCACAAGCGGUGGAGCAUGUGGUUUAAUUCGAAGCAACGCGAAGAACCUUACCAAAUCUUGACAUCCUUUGACAACUCUAGAGAUAGAGCUUUCCCCUUCGGGGGACAAAGUGACAGGUGGUGCAUGGUUGUCGUCAGCUCGUGUCGUGAGAUGUUGGGUUAAGUCCCGCAACGAGCGCAACCCUUAAGCUUAGUUGCCAUCAUUAAGUUGGGCACUCUAAGUUGACUGCCGGUGACAAACCGGAGGAAGGUGGGGAUGACGUCAAAUCAUCAUGCCCCUUAUGAUUUGGGCUACACACGUGCUACAAUGGACAAUACAAAGGGCAGCGAAACCGCGAGGUCAAGCAAAUCCCAUAAAGUUGUUCUCAGUUCGGAUUGUAGUCUGCAACUCGACUACAUGAAGCUGGAAUCGCUAGUAAUCGUAGAUCAGCACGCUACGGUGAAUACGUUCCCGGGUCU
rnacentral:rRNA from 1 species